UAGGGAAUCUUCCACAAUGGACGCAAGUCUGAUGGAGCAACGCCGCGUGAGUGAAGAAGGUUUUCGGACCGUAAAGCUCUGUUGUUGGUGAAGAAGGAUAGAGGUAGUAACUGGCCUUUAUUUGACGGUAAUCAACCAGAAAGUCACGGCUAACUACGUGCCAGCAGCCGCGGUAAUACGUAGGUGGCAAGCGUUGUCCGGAUUUAUUGGGCGUAAAGCGAGCGCAGGCGGAAGAAUAAGUCUGAUGUGAAAGCCCUCGGCUUAACCGAGGAAUUGCAUCGGAAACUGUUUUCUUGAGUGCAGAAGAGGAGAGUAGAACUCCAUGUGUAGCGGUGGAAUGCGUAGAUAUAUGGAAGAAUACCAGUGGCGAAGGCGGCUCUCUGGUCUGCAACUGACGCUGAGGCUCGAAAAGCAUGGGUAGCGAACAGGAUUAGAUACCCUGGUAGUCCAUGCCGUAAAACGAUGAGUGCUAAGUGUUGGGAGGCUUCCGCCUCUCAGUGCUGCAGCUAACGCAUUAAGCACUCCGCCUGGGGGAGUACGACCGCAAAGGUUGAAAC
rnacentral:rRNA from 1 species